rnacentral:misc_RNA from 1 species
UCCCGGUUGGCCCGGGCAGUCCCGUGUGAAAAGUUCAACACACGGCAAGGGUUGCGCUCGUUGCGGGACUUAACCCAACAUCUCACGACACGAGCUGACGACGGCCAUGCAACACCUGUCACUGGGUUCCCGAAGGCACUCUCCUAUUUCUAGGAGAUUCCCAGGAUGUCAAGCCUUGGUAAGGUUCUUCGCGUAUCGUCGAAUUAAACCACAUGCUCCACCGCUUGUGCGGGUCCCCGUCAAUUCCUUUGAGUUUUAAGCUUGCGCUCGUACUCCCCAGGCGGGGUGCUUAACGCGUUAGCUUCUCAGCCCAGAGGGUCGAUACUCCAGACUAACAGCACCCAUCGUUUACGGCGUGGACUAC